rnacentral:rRNA from 1 species
UACGGAGGGUGCAAGCGUUAUCCGGAUUCACUGGGUUUAAAGGGUGCGUAGGUGGGCAAGUAAGUCAGUGGUGAAAUCUCCGGGCUUAACCCGGAAACUGCCAUUGAUACUAUUUGUCUUGAAUACUGUGGAGGUUAGCGGAAUAUGUCAUGUAGCGGUGAAAUGCUUAGAUAUGACAUAGAACACCAAUUGCGAAGGCAGCUGGCUACACAAAUAUUGACACUGAGGCACGAAAGCGCGGGGAUCAAACAGG